rnacentral:tRNA from 1 species
GGGCCUAUAGCUCAAUGGCGGAGCAGGGCGCUCAUAACGCCUCGGAUGUUGGUUCGAAUCCAACUGGGCCCA